CCUACGGGUGGCAGCAGUGAGGAAUAUUGGUCAAUGGGCGAGAGCCUGAACCAGCCAAGUAGCGUGAAGGAUGACGGCCCUACGGGUUGUAAACUUCUUUUAUAAAGGAAUAAAGUGAGGCACGUGUGCCUUUUUGUAUGUACUUUAUGAAUAAGGAUCGGCUAACUCCGUUCCAGCAGCCGCGGGAAUACGGAGGAUCCGAGCGUUAUCCGGAUUUAUUGGGUUUAAAGGGAGCGUAGAGGGGUUGUUAAGUCAGUUGUGAAAGUUUGCGGCUCAACCGUAACAGUGCAAUUGAUACUGGCAGCCUUGAGUGCAGUUGAGGUAGGCGGAAUUCGUGGUGUAGCGGUGAAAUGCUUAGAUAUCACGAAGAACUCCGAUUGCGAAAGCAGCUUACUAAACUGCCACUGACAUUGAUGCUCGAAAGUGUGGGUAUCAAACAGGAUUAGAUACCCGAGUAGUC
rnacentral:rRNA from 1 species